rnacentral:rRNA from 1 species
GACGGAGGGUGCAAGCGUUGCUCGGAAUCACUGGGCGUAAAGGGUGCGUAGGCGGUCUCGCAAGUCUGGCGUGAAAGCCCAAGGCUCAGCCUUGGAAGUGCGCUCGAAACGGCGAGGCUGGAGUGCCGGAGGGGGGACUGGAAUUCUCGGUGUAGCAGUGAAAUGCGUAGAUAUCGAGAGGAACACCAGUGGCGAAGGCGAGUCCCUGGACAACUCCUGACACUGAGGCACGAAAGCUAGGGGAGCAAACAGG